rnacentral:rRNA from 1 species
UACGGAGGAUCCAAGCGUUAUCCGGAUUUAUUGGGUUUAAAGGGUGCGUAGGCGGCUUAUUAAGUCAGAGGUGAAAGACGGUGGCUCAACCAUCGCAGUGCCUUUGAUACUGAUGAGCCUGAAUAGACCUGAGGUAGGCGGAAUGUGACAAGUAGCGGUGAAAUGCAUAGAUAUGUCACAGAACACCAAUUGCGAAGGCAGCUUACUAAAGUCUGAUUGACGCUGAGGCACGAAAGCGUGGGGAUCAAACAGG